UGGGAAGGGGGCUUGCCCCCGAUAGCUGACUGUCAGCCAACACAUCUAUCGCUGACACACCGCUAUCGGGGGCAAGCCCCCUCCCAU
rnacentral:misc_RNA from 1 species